rnacentral:rRNA from 1 species
GACGAACGCUGGCGGCGUGCCUAAUACAUGCAAGUUGAGCGCUGAAGGUUGGUACUUGUACCAACUGGAUGAGCAGCGAACGGGUGAGUAACGCGUGGGGAAUCUGCCUUUGAGCGGGGGACAACAUUUGGAAACGAAUGCUAAUACCGCAUAAAAACUUUAAACAAAAGUUUUAAGUUUGAAAGAUGCAAUUGCAUCACUCAAAGAUGAUCCCGCGUUGUAUUAGCUAGUUGGUGAGGUAAAGGCUCACCAAGGCGAUGAUACAUAGCCGACCUGAGAGGGUGAUCGGCCACAUUGGGACUGGGACACGGCCCAAACUCCUACGGGAGGCAGCAGUAGGGAAUCUUCGGCAAUGGACGAAAGUCUGACCGAGCAACGCCGCGUGAGUGAAGAAGGUUUUCGGAUCGUAAAACUCUGUUGGUAGAGAAGAACGUUGGUGAGAGUGGAAAGCUCAUCAAGUGACGGUAACUACCCAGAAAGGGACGGCUAACUACGUG